UUUGAUGUAUACCGUUAACGAUGAUAAUGCAUCCUGAAAUUUAUGCAGUGAAAUAAGCUAAGUCAAAGGACAUACCGUUUGAGCUUUUCCCAACCAAUGGAGUUCCUCUUAUUGUGAGGUUACUUUGAGUUGGAAAUGUCCACGCCAAUGGUGUCUGAUCAUCAUCGUCUGAUGACAGAACUGUCUUAUCUGCCAGUGGUUCACGUAUGAAAAAUCCCGUUUGUGGGCGUGACAAACCAAUGGCUUGUGAUCGGUUUGAAGAGCCAUUCUCAGCAACCACUGUCGACAUGGGCACAUCAGCUUAUCAUUGACAAUGUUCAAAACCAUUUAGCAAGGAAACGACUUCUUCCACUGUUCUAUUGGUAUUACUUCCACAAUAGCCUACUUAUGCACCUAGGUUUGUUUUAUCUAUCUUCCUCAAUAAGGUUCUAUUUUGUGCCAGAUUCGCGUUUUGAGAUGCAGGACGUGUAACUGCUAACACAGGGCUACUUCUCCAUGGCUACUUGAUCGUUUUAUCUCUACUAAGGUUCUAUUUUCUCCCUCAACGUGCUGCUCAUCAUGAUCGAUUCUGCCCAAAGAGGAUCUGUGAAAGUUCUUUUAAGAGGAACCUGGCUAGUGAAGACGGCAGGCUUGGCGAGGAAGGUCUUUUUACUCGAUGGCGACUUUGUUCAGCGAGCUUUUUACUCGAUGGAGACUUUGGUCAGCGAGCUUUUUACUCGAUGGCGACUUUGGUCAGCGAGAUGAAGAAGACGGCUGACAGCGACUUUGUUCUUUUAAGAGGAACCUGGCUAGUGAAGACGGCAGGCUUGGCGACAAAGGUCUUUUUACUCGAUGGCGACUUUGGUCAGCGAGAUGAAGAAGACGACUGGCAGUGACUUUGGUCAGCGCGAUGAAGAUGACGGCCAGCAGCGACCCUGGUUUUGGUCAGCGAGAUGAAGAAGACGGCUGACAGCGACUUUGGUCAGCGCGAUGAAGACGACGGCCAGCAGCGAUACUGGUUGUGGUCAGCGUGAUGAAGACGACACUGGUUGUGGUCAGCGUGAUGAAGACGACAGUGCCAUUUCAAAAGCUACGCCUAAUGGUGUGUUAGUUGAGAAAUAGUAGGUGUUUGUUGUGCCAUUUGAAAUUUUGAAAAGCUACGCCUAAUGGUGUGGAGUUGUUUGUUAUCCACGUUACACGGGCUGGAGUUGCUUUGUUAGUUGCGUUUUUUUCAAGAUUGCGUUGCGUUGAGAUAAGACGUGGGAGGUAUUAUUGUCCAUCCUGAAAAUGUGACACCAGGCAUUCACCGGUUUGCUCUUAAUAGU